GCACUAGUAGCUCAGAGUUUAGAGCGUCGGUCUUGUAAGCCGAACGCCGGAGGUUAAAUUCCUCCUUCCUGCU
rnacentral:tRNA from 1 species